rnacentral:rRNA from 1 species
CGCUAGCUACAGGCUUAACACAUGCAAGUCGAGGGGCAGCAUGGUCUUAGCUUGCUAAGGCCGAUGGCGACCGGCGCACGGGUGAGUAACACGUAUCCAACCUGCCGUCUACUCUUGGACAGCCUUCUGAAAGGAAGAUUAAUACAAGAUGGCAUCAUGAGUCCGCAUGUUCACAUGAUUAAAGGUAUUCCGGUAGACGAUGGGGAUGCGUUCCAUUAGAUAGUAGGCGGGGUAACGGCCCACCUAGUCUUCGAUGGAUAGGGGUUCUGAGAGGAAGGUCCCCCACAUUGGAACUGAGACACGGUCCAAACUCCUACGGGAGGCAGCCGUGAGGAAUAUUGGUCAAUGGGCGAGAGCCUGAACCAGCCAAGUAGCGUGAAGGAUGACUGCCCUAUGGGUUGUAAACUUCUUUUAUAAAGGAAUAAAGUCGGGUAUGGAUACCCGUUUGCAUGUACUUUAUGAAUAAGAAUCGGCUAACUCCGUGCCAGCAGCCGCGAUAAUACGGAGGAUCCCAGCGUUAUCCGGAUUUAUUGGGUUUAAAGGGAGCGUAUAUGGAUGUUUAAGUCAUUUGUGAAGGUUUGCUGCUCAACCGUAAAAUUGCAGUUGAUACUGGAUAUGUUGAGUGCAGUUGAGGCAGGCGGAAUUCGUGGUGUAGCGGUGAAAUGCUUAGAUAUCACGAAGAACUCCGAUUGCGAAGGCAGCCUGCUAAGCUGCAACUGACAUUGAGGCUCGAAAGUGUGGGUAUCAAACAGGAUUAGAUACCCUGGUAGUCCACACGGUAAACGAUGAAUACUCGCUGUUUGCGAUAUACUGCAAGCGGCCAAGCGAAAGCGUUAAGUAUUCCACCUGGGGAGUACGCCGGCAACGGUGAAACUCAAAGGAAUUGACGGGGGCCCGCACAAGCGGAGGAACAUGUGGUUUAAUUCGAUGAUACGCGAGGAACCUUACCCGGGCUUAAAUUGCAGAUGAAUUACGGUGAAAGCCGUAAGCCGCAAGGCAUCUGUGAAGGUGCUGCAUGGUUGUCGUCAGCUCGUGCCGUGAGGUGUCGGCUUAAGUGCCAUAACGAGCGCAACCCUUGUUGUCAGUUACUAACAGGUUCCGCUGAGGACUCUGACAAGACUGCCAUCGUAAGAUGUGAGGAAGGUGGGGAUGACGUCAAAUCAGCACGGCCCUUACGUCCGGGGCUACACACGUGUUACAAUGGGGGGUACAGAGGGCCGCUACCACGCGAGUGGAUGCCAAUCCCCAAAACCUCUCUCAGUUCGGACUGGAGUCUGCAACCCGACUCCACGAAGCUGGAUUCGCUAGUAAUCGCGCAUCAGCCACGGCGCGGUGAAUACGUUCCCGGGCCUUGUACACACCGCCCGUCAAGCCAUGGGAGCCGGGGGUACCUGAAGUGCGUAACCGCGAGGAGCGCCCUAGGGUAAAACUGGUGA